UUCCCAUUCGCCAACCGCUCAGUUCGGCCUUGGGGGUCAAAGGUUCUCCCUGGCCCACGAAGGCUUUCGCUGCCCCAUUGUCUUCAUGCGAGAAAUUGACCAAUGGGAAAAGACUCUGAUCCUCCAGCCAAUCAAUCAGAGCGCGGGCUUUGUGUGAAUGAAGAUUGAGCUUCACACAGACUGAAACUUCCUCCUGUGUCCAACAUCUGUUAUCAGAAGAAGAGGAUUUGCAGACAGUAGACUCAAAACCAAACAUCACUUCAAGAUCUCAGAGUCAUUUGAUUCAUGGAACCUGAAUAUUAUCAGCCUUUGAAUCUAUAAGGAAAGAUGUUUCUCUGUCCUACCUGCUUGUGAAGACUUUAAACAUCUGCCUGACCAAGAUAGCACGAAGACGCACACACCUGAGUGAGAGUGUUCCAGUGCACUGACUGCAGAAAGAGCUUUCACCAGUUACACAGUCUGGUAAAACAUUGGACCAUUCACAGCGGAGAGAGCAUACUUAUGUCCUGUGUGUGGAGGAAGAUUCAACUGAUUGUCGAACCUUGAAAGACAUAACGACACCCGCACCAUGGAGAAACCUUGGAAAUAUGGGUACUGUGGGAAGGGAUUCAGAUCCCCAUCUGAAUCUCAUCGGCGCAGUCACACUGGGGAGAGGCCAUUCACCUGCACUGUGUGUGGGAAAGGAUUCGCUCAUUCAUCCAACCUGCGGACACACCAGCGAGUUCACACUGGGAAGAGGCCAUUCACCUGCUCCAACUGUUGGAAGGGAUUCAAUUCGUUAUCUCACCUGCUGACACACCAGCGAAUUCACACCAGGGAGAGGCCAUUCACCUGCUCUGAGUGCAGGAAGGUAUUCAGUGAUCCAUCCAACCUACGAACACACCAGUGAGUUCACUCCGGAAAGAGGCCGUUCACUUGCCCUGAGUAUGGAAAGAGAAUCACUCAGUUAUCCCACCUGCUGACACACCAACGAGUUCACACUGGGGAGAGACCAUUUACCUGUUCUGAGCGUGGGAAGAAUUCAGUAAAUCAUCCAACCUGCUGACGCACCAGCGAGUUCAUACCGGGUAGAGACCAUUUAUCUGCGCUGAGUGUGGGAAGGUAUUCACUCAUCUAUCCACGCUGCUGACUCACCAGCGAGUUCACCCUGGGGAGAAGCCGUUCACCUGCUCUGAAUGUGGGAAGGGAUUCAGUCAAAUAUCCAACCUGCGGACACACCUGCAAGUUCACACUGGGGAGAGACUGUUCACCUGUUCUGGGCGUGGGAGCGGAUUCACUGUUUAAUCUGCCCUGCUGAGGCAGCAGAGAGUUCAAACCGAGGAGAGACCGUUCACCUGUUCCGAGUGUGGGAGAUUCACUCAGUCAUCAAAUCUGUUGAGACACCAGGUUCAGAAGCAAAUGAUAUAAACAUUUCCGAGAGAAAGCUAUCGACUUAUUCAUCUUGUCUACACUUCCCUGAAUUUCACUAGAAUCUACAUGGAUACCAGAUUGAUCUAUUCCAUUCAACUAUACCCAAGCUACAUUACAGUAUCUGGAACUUAAGAAGACAGGGAAUUGAAGACUUCAUCGUUAAGCUUACAUACAGUACAAUUUGGUAAUAUAAGCCUUAUUAAUUACAUAAAUGUGUCAUCGAGAUGAAGUCUAACAGUUAACACUGAGAAAGAGGCUGACUCCAGUUAUUUUGCAGGGAAUCCCCAUUCUUUUUAGCGACUACAACGUACUGACAUCACCAAACCAGGACAAGUAGAACUUUCAUACCCCUUAACCUUGUGUCGAUCCUCAGUACAAGGUGAAUCUGGGUAACAUUUUCACCAAUCUAAUCCACAUACUGAUGAGGUGCAGCCACUGCCUAACACAGCACAGUUGAAUGAGUCUGUGACUAACACACUCAUCACUGGACCAAAUCUCCUUGUGACUAGUACAAUUCCUUCAGAGUGAUCAUCAUCAUCAUCUUCAGCCUCAGAAUUCUCUGUAUCAUGUGUCACUUCAAAGACCCUGAUUUUCCGCUUUGGGCAGUUCAUCACAUAAUGAUAUUUUGAGUCAGGCCUGAAACACCUGUUAAUUGUUCCUUGGUCAUUCCUGGGGUUCAUUCACCUAUUAAUGCUGUUCCAAUCCUGUCUUUUGUUGUGAUAUCCAGAUCUGCUAAAGAUGCUUUCACCCUCAUUUGAAACCUGUCAAAGUCCAACUGUGCUUCAUAGGCAUCCACUAGAUCAUCUUUCUUGUAAAUCUCAUCAAUGAAGCCGAAUAGAAGAUCCAAACCUUCAUCAGUAUCCAACUGACAGGCAUCUGGCUCACUAAAUACUUUGCUUCUGAAUUUACUUUUGUUGGGAAGUGACAAUGCCAAGACCAGACCUUCUUUCCUCCUUGGUAGGGACAUAACCCGUGUCCACAUAUCCACUUCAUUCUUCCACUGGUCGUGUGGCUCAGACUCCGAGAACAUCGGCGGGUAAUCAGACCCUGACAAUUUCCACUUGCUUUCAGCCAUUUCUCACAAAAGCUACUCAGGUUGUAAGUUUCUGUGUGAAGUUUUAAUUUCCUUUAGUUUCCAACCUUCACCAUUAAACAUACAUUCUCUGUUACCAUGUUAUAAUCCUAACAGCCUGAUGGUGAAGGAAGAAACCAGAGCCAAUCUUUAUUUGGUAUAGAUUUAUCCACUGAGUGAAACAUUACGGGUAUAUACCUCCUGACUCCACUCCACUCUAUGUUAGUAAAGGUCUCUUUAUAUGUGCUCAAGUAACUAUCCAAUCCAUGAUUUCCACCUGUAUAUACUUAACCUCAAUUGACAUAAUUGACAAUCACAGUCAGAGCAUCUAAAACGUCUCUAAUCAAUGUGACUGUCAUGGUGUGUCAGCAGCUCGGAUGAACAAGUGAAUCUCUUCCCACACUCAGAGCGUGCCAACAGCCUCUCCCCGGUGUGAACCCGCUGGUAUCUCAGCAGGGUGGAUGGAUCACUGAAUACCUUCCCACACUCAGAACAGGUGAAUGGCUUCUUCCCGGUGUGAACUCGCUGGUGUGUCUGCAGGGUGGAUGACUGAGGGAAUCCCUUCCCAAACACGUAACAGAUGAACGGCCUCUCCCCAGUAUGAACUCGCUGGUGUGUGUGCAGGUCGUAAGACCGAGUGAAUCUCUUCCCACAUUCAGAACAGACGAGCCAGUCCCCGGUGUGAACUUGCUGGUGUGACAGCAGGUAGAAUGACCGAGUGAAUCCCUUCCCACACUCACUGCAGGUGAACAGCCUCUCCCCACUGUGACCUCGCUUGUGCAUCAGCAGGGGGGAUGAGUCACUGAAUCCCUUCCCACACUCCGAGCAGGUGAACGGCCUCUCCCCAGUGUGAACUCGCUGGUGUGAUUGCAGGCUGGAUAACUGACUAAAUCCCUUCCCACACUCAGGGCAGGUGAAUGGUG